rnacentral:rRNA from 1 species
GACGAACGCUGGCGGCGUGCCUAAUACAUGCAAGUAGAACGCCGACGGAGGAGCUUGCUUCCCUGGAUGAGUUGCGAACGGGUGAGUAACGCGUAGGUAACCUGCCUGGUAGCGGGGGAUAACUAUUGGAAACGAUAGCUAAUACCGCAUAAGAGUAGAUGUUGCAUGACAUUUGCUUAAAAGGUGCAAUUGCAUCACUACCAGAUGGACCUGCGUUGUAUUAGCUAGUUGGUGGGGUAACGGCUCACCAAGGCGACGAUACAUAGCCGACCUGAGAGGGUGAUCGGCCACACUGGGACUGAGACACGGCCCAGACUCCUACGGGAAGCAGCAGUAGGGAAUCUUCGGAAAUGGACGGAAGGCUGAGCGAGAAACGCCGCGUGAGUGAAGAAGGUUUUCGGAUCGUAAAGCUCUGUUGUAAGAGGAGAACGAGUGUGAGAGUGGAAAGGUCACACUGUGACGGUACCUUACGAGAAAGGGACGGCUAACUACGUG